rnacentral:rRNA from 1 species
ACAUGUGGAGCGCUUAGAAGUGAGAAUGCCGGUGUGAGUAGCGAAAGACGGGUGAGAAUCCCGUCCACCGAUUGACUAAGGUUUCCAGAGGAAGGCUCGUCCGCUCUGGGUUAGUCGGGUCCUAAGCUGAGGCCGACAGGCGUAGGCGAUGGAUAACAGGUUGAUAUUCCUGUACCACCUAUAAUCGUUUUAAUCGAUGGGGGGACGCAGUAGGAUAGGCGAAGCGUGCGAUUGGAUUGCACGUCUAAGCAGUAAGGCUGAGUAUUAGG